rnacentral:rRNA from 1 species
AUACAGAGGGUGCAAGCGUUAAUCGGAAUUACUGGGCGUAAAGCGCGCGUAGGCGGUUGGGUAAGUUGGAUGUGAAAUCCCCGAGCUUAACUUGGGAACUGCAUUCAAAACUGCUCGACUAGAGUAUGGUAGAGGGAAGUGGAAUUUCCGGUGUAGCGGUGAAAUGCGUAGAUAUCGGAAGGAACACCAGUGGCGAAGGCGACUUCCUGGGCCAAUACUGACGCUGAGGUGCGAAAGCGUGGGGAGCAAACAGGAUUAGAUACCCGGGUAGUCC